rnacentral:lncRNA from 1 species
GCCGCCGCCGCCGCCGCCGCCGCCCUUUGCCUGAGGGGAGCCGAGCGGAGCGGAGGGGGCCGGCGGCGGUUGGGGCAGAGUGAAAUUCCAUGUUAAGAGACGUCUGACUAUUAAAAUAACCCGUUCCAGUGACAGCAUGUAAAGUGAAGUUCCUCUACAGAACUUGGCGGCCAGMUGGAGUAGUUAAAGAAGACCUGAAGCAAUGCUGGGAGCACUCAAUGCUCCAUAUGUUCCCAGAGUGAAUUACUUGAUGGGAAGAAAAGAGGCAUCCWUUGGGGAUUCUGUGAUAAAACUGCUUCAAACAAAUGAACAAAAACUAUGACAGAGCUACAGAUCCCCUUUCUUCACAACGUCCAAAGCUGCUGGCGGUGGUCAGCUCCUCAGUCUGGAGAAACUUCCUGAAUGGACUUUGCUUCACUGCUGGUGGUUCUUCGGCAUGGCUUUCUGGCAUGUAGAAAGUGUGUUUUGAGAGACCUUUGUUAGCAAAGACGUCCARCUCCAGAGAGAGCUUGUAACGAAAUAGGAAGCGAUGCUGGCAAAAUAUUCUAAAAG